rnacentral:rRNA from 1 species
UACGUAGGGUGCGAGCGUUGUCCGGAAUUAUUGGGCGUAAAGGGCUCGUAGGCGGUCUGUUGCGUCAGGAGUGAAAACUCGGGGCUUAACCCCCGAGCCUGCUUCUGAUACGGGCAGACUAGAGGUAUGCAGGGGAGAACGGAAUUCCUGGUGUAGCGGUGAAAUGCGUAGAUAUUGGGAAGAACACCGAUGGCGAAGGCAGCCAUCUGGACCGACACUGACGCUGAGGCGCGAAAGCGUGGGGAGCAAACAGG